rnacentral:lncRNA from 1 species
CUCCAUUAAGGCAUCCAAAAGGUACUUUUAAUACAAUUUGGCUAAGUGCUCACUCAUUUUCUUAAAUAGAUGUGAGCCUGGCACUGUGAUAGAUGCUUUGUGUAAGCUACUCAUCACCACACUAUAAAACAAAUGAGAAAAUCAAAGCUAAAGAAGGUUAAGGGACUCACAAAAUUACUAAAGAAUCUCAUUUCAGGCAGCUGGAGAGCUUUAGUUAGUCCAGAGCCCUUUGAGGCUUGAUGGGCAGCAGAACCCAAGAAGACAGGUCAGAGGUACUGUCAGCUCAGCCCUGGACAAACAGCCUUUUAUGAAAAGGUCACGUUGGCACAAAAUCCUUCACAAGCGAUAUCAGCACAGGGAUCAAUAUUCAGUUGGUGGAUAUUACUUUCCAUUCUGUCCGUGCUUUGCAGCCUCACAGAUCUAUGCCUUGGCUAAGCUGUUGGCUGUUUGGAUUGUUCCUCCUUCUCGACUCCAUCAAUUACAACCUUCCUUUAUCCCUUAAGUCCAUUCUAAAGGACAUCAUCUACAUUAGCCCUACUCCAAUUCUUACGGUAAAAAUAAAUACUCCCUCUACUUCCUCACACAGUAUUCUUCUUUCACUUCCAUUGUAGUUCUAUUCCAAUUUUCCUGCUGUUGAAAUUAGCUGUUGAAUGGCUGCCAGUAGAACUGCCUGGCAAGCUCCUUGCAGAAAGAGUUUCUGUCCCGUUCAUUUCAGGAUCCUACACAUGCCAGCAUAAAUAAUUGCUUAGAUAAAUCUUCCAAAGCUUGUAUAUUUAAAUAGUUGCCCAAUAAAUGCUGUGACAGUUAUUCCUUUGGGUUAUUAUAAUAUUUAUUAACUAAAUAGAGUGACUUGUAUAUUGAAACAAACAAAAUAAUUUAACAAGACUCUCAAUAGCAAUCGAGUUAAAAUUCGUUGAGCGCCUAGCCCCUGUUAGGCUAAUUCAUAUUACCUUUUACCUUCAAAACAAUUCUGAGAACAGUGGGAGAAGAAACUAUAGCAAAUGAUAGAGAUAGCUGAACCCAUUUAACUGUAGAAUUAAGACUACAAUAAACUUGAGAAUUAUGAUUACUGAACACAAUUAUUCCAUAAAUAGUGUAGGAACAACUGACUAACCAUGUGCAAACAGUAAUACAGAUAGCUCUCUCACAAGUUACAGUGAAAUAAGUUAUAGAUGAACCUGAAUUCAAGACUUAGACAUAAAAAGUGAAACUGUAUACUUGAAGAACAUUAGAGAAUUAAAAAUAAAUGCUAGAAUGAGAAGGCCUUUACAAGUUUAAAUUCACAAGUCAUAAAUUUUACUAUACGAACAAACAAAAAACUAGGACAAAUAUCUGCAUAGACAAUAUAGACAAAGUGUUAAUAUUAUAUAUAAAGAGCUUCUACAUAUUGAAUAGAAAAGACUAACAAUGGAAUAGAUUAAUGAGAAAAUAAUGUUAUGGAAUAAUUCACAGAAAAAUACAUAUGAAUGGGCCGGGUGCAAUGGGUCACACCAGUAAUCCCAGCAUUUUGGGAGGUCAAGUUGAGAGAAUGCCUUGAGGCCAGGAGUUCAAGACCAGCCUGGCCAACAUGGCAAAACCCCAUCUCUACUAAAAAAUACAAAAAUUAGCUGGGUGUGGUGGCAUGCAUCUGUAGUCCCAGCUACUCGGGAGGCUGAGGUGGGAGGAGCACUUGAGCAUGGGAAAUGGAGGUUGCAGUGAGCCAAGAUUGCCCCACUGCACUCCAGCCUGGGUGACAGAGACUUUGUCUCAAAAAUAAAAGAAAGAAAGAAAAAUAUAUAUGAAUGUUUCUUAAACACAUAGAAAUAUAUUCAAGAAACAUAUUCAACUUAACUCAUGGGAAGAGAAACAAAAAUAGAAAUUACAACUCAACAUUUCCUACCUGUCAGAACGGCAAAGGUCAAAAUAUUUGAUAACCUAUUAUGAUAGUGAGUAUGUACAACAACUUGUACUCUUAUUAAUUUUUGGUAGGAGUUUAAAUAGUAUAAUUCUAUUAAGAAUAAUUUGGCAACUUAUAUCACAAAUGGAUAUACCUUUUGAUUCAGUAAUUCCACUUCUGAAGUGUUAUCUUACUAGUAGAUUUGCCAUUGAUCACAUACACAUUCAAGGCUAUUAAUUACAACAUUUUUGUUUUGGAAUCAUAGAAGAUUGAAAAUAAAUGCCAAUCAAUAGGGAGCCAGUUAAUAAUUAUGAUAAUCUAUAUUAUAUAAUAAUAUGCAACCAUCAAAAUGAAUGAUCCAACAGAUGUGGAAAGAUCUCAGGAUGAAAUUAAAACAAAUUGUUAAGUGAAAGUAGCAGGGAGAGAGCUAAUACGCAUAAUAUAUUUCCAUUUGUGCAAAAGUGGAAGAACAUGUACCUACAUGCUUAUAAAAACAAAAACAAUUCCAAAAGAAAAUUAUGCUGAAAAGGUCCAUUUAACAGGUAAGGAAAUAAAUAAUCAGAAAUGUUAUGAAUUGCCUUCAAAGGCAAUCAAUUAGCAAAGUCAUAGAUUUAACCUAAGUUACCUGACACAAAUCGUUUUGCUUUUCUGCCUAGCUAGAUGCCAGGUUCUCCAGUGAGCAAUGGGAAUUCAGAGACAAGAGAUGUGGCUCUUACAUUGGAAGAACUCAUAGUUGGAGGGGCGGAGACAUAUAACUGCAAUUACACAGAAGCAUAGUGGCAGUCAUAAGCUCAGGGCUCUGUGAAAUCACCAGGGAGUUGGAGUGCUGUGAAAGGAUGUAGAGAUUAAUGCUUGAGUUGAGUUUUGGAAGGAGAUUUAUGAGUUUAUCAUCUCACAAAGAGAAGAAAAGACUAAGGUCGAAGAAAAGAAUCAGCAUGACCCUUCAAAGGCUCAGAAUGAAUGAAUAAAUGAAUGAGGGAAUGAAUGAAUUCAUCCAAAAUAUAUUUAUUAAAUAUCUAUUGACUCCUAGGCAUGAAAUGAUAACCAAGUCAGAGAAGGUACGCAGCUUCAUUGUCAUAUCCUGGGGAGGGAAGACAGGCUGAAGAUGUAAACAGAUAAGAUAAUCUCAGAAUAGAAAAAGCUAUGUAGAUUUACGAAGAAAACAAAAAGCAUUAUAUGACAAUGAAUGAAUGAAGGUGGUGAAAGGGGUGCUUUAUAGACUAGCCAGGUAGGGUCUUUUGCAGAAGAUGGCAUUUGGACAGAGAUUUGAAUCAUGAGAAAGAGGCUGUCAAGAAAACAGCAAAUAGGAGAGGUUUCCAGACAAUAAAGUAGGAAGGGCAAAGGCUGUAUCAAGCCUGCUUUGCUCAAGGAUCAGAGAGAAAACAAGUUUGUCCUCAGGAGAGCGAGCAAUAGGAAAAUUAAUCACAGAUGGCAUUGGAAAGGUAGGCAAAUGCCGGAUCAUGUAAAGCAUGAUAAAGAGUUUGAAUUUUGUUCUAGGCACAGUGACAAGCUGUUGGAAGCUUUGAGAAGGGAAAAAGCAGGAUGUGAUUUGUGCUUUUAGAUCACCAACUCUGCCAGGUAUGUGCAGCUAAACUUUGGGAGGCCGAGGCAGGUGGAUCACCUAAGGUCAGGAGUUUGAGACCAGCCUGGCCAACAUGAUGGAAACCGCAUCUCUACUAAAAAUACAAAAAUUAGCUGGGCAUGGUGGUGUAAUCCCAGCUACUCAGGAGGCUGAGGCAGGAAAAUCGCUUGAACCCAGGAGGCACACGUUGCAGUGAGCCAAGAUCACGCCACUGCACUCCAGCCUGGGCAACAAGAGCAAGACUCUGUCUCAAAAAAAAAAAAAAAAAAAAAGGCUGGAGGCAGGGAGCCCACUGAAGAGGCUGUUACAGUAACCCAGAUAAGAGAUGGUGGAAGGUUAUUCUAGGUGGGAUGGAGAGAGGAGGAAAAUUCAGCUCUUUUUCAGAAUUAGAAUCUAUAGACCAUGCCUGGGAUAUGAGGGAAAACACAAGAGAAGGAUCCUGAAUGAUUCAGGUUCUUAGUCCCAGCAACUGGUGAUUUAGCAUCACCUGCGAUGGGAAGGUGAGGUUGAAAUAAGUUUUGGUUUAAGACAGAGGAAGAGAUCAUUGUGACAACCUGUAGUCAGUCCCAUGAUAUUCAUUUGAUUGGAAUGUGGAAGGAAUAAAAGAAUGGGGAAAAAUAAGAAUAUAGGAGUGAGAAAAUAACUGGGCACAAAAAUAAUGAGGAUAUUGGAUGCCAGAAAAAGAGUUUGGGCUUCAUCUUGUAAUAAAAAUAUUAAAAAUAUUUUUCUUGGGUAUUUAAUAUUCCCAAGAAUCCAAAAGCAGCAUUACUAUUUUUAUUCUCACAUUACAGAUGAGGAAAUGGAAGCACAGGAAAUUUACUAAUAUGAUCAAUGUCAUAUAGAACAACAAUAACAGCAAAAAGUCAGGGUUCAAGAUCCAGGCGAUAUGAGUCCAGAUCAGUCUCUCUUUCUCUCCGUCUCCGUUCCUCUUUCUCCUCCUUCUCCUUCUUUGUCUUCAUUUUUGUCUUCUUCUUUUCUUCAUUCUCAAUCAUCUAUCCCUCUGUCUAUGAUGUAAACCACAUACAUCAUUUACAAAUUUUUAAGUAACCACAUUAAAAAAAAAAGCAGGUGAAAAUAAUCUAAAUAACAUAUUUCUGCAACAUGAGUUUAUUCACAGUGAAGAGCUGGUGACCUUUGUGUGAAGGAAACUUGGGCUCCGCAGCCGACGUUUUCCUGUGUCUAAUGCUAAUGUUCCCCUUCUAAUGCAAAACCAGCUGCAAAACUCAUCUGCACUCUUCUCAUGCUUUUCUUCUCCUUCCUGCUCUGGUUAUUUUUUUUCCGGGCACACUUCUUACACUGUCAGAACUUAAUAUUAUUUUACAACCCUGAGCCAAACCUUGGGAGCUUGAAGAAUAGCUGAGAGGCAGACACACAAGCAUGAACUGACCCCCUUUUAACACACACGUGGCUCUUAAGAUAGGGGAAAA